rnacentral:lncRNA from 1 species
GUGCAUAUAGGUAGUACAGGUGACCAGGAAGGGUUAGCACAGGUGAGAGGAGAGCACAUACAGUUGUUACCGUAUCACAGAUACAGCUUAUAGAAUGCAUCUCUCUGCACCUUUUUUUUAUAGGAAUAUGUGUUUGGGAGCUAUUUAUAUAUGCAAUAAAUGGGAACUACACCACAAAAGAGUAACAUUUGGAAAGCUGAUUUUUGUGGACGCAUUAUGGAUAGCUCCCUUCUGUGGCAGUUCAUAGGGAAUCGCCACUACACUUGGCAUGCCUGUUUUUCUGAAAUUUCUGCCAUCCUUCUCUGCAGAUCCUCUCAAGUUGUCUUUGUCCUGUCGUGUCCCUUGUAUAUAUAUUUUUACAUCUUUUUCUUCGCAUAUCUUUUAAAAAUAUUUUCCUAAACCUCAACUUCUAAAUACUCUCCUGCAACCCGCCUCACCCAAUGUGGCGUGGAUCUGUUUUUUUUCUAAAGUAUUUCUAUUUAAUUCAGAUCUGGAAUCCCUCAACUGAAGCUAGCCAGCUAACUACCUACCAGGUAUUAGUCAGCAAACCAUUGCUAGCGGUCAUCAGCUAACCUUUAGCUCGGAAAGCUCUCGCCAGUUCGAACAAUGUGACUCAAACCAGAGCAUAACGGACCUAUUAUUAUUUUUUAAUUUUUUUCCCCCAUAUCCCUGGAUUCCUACCGCAAACUCUGAACAUUUUCAUCUGGAUCUUCGCAACUAGCUAACCGCAAUCCUGGGUGACUUCUCCUGGCUAGCUUUUCCAUCCCAGAGCAAGCACCAAUUAGCCUGAAGCUAGCCCAGCCAGGGCUCCUGUGCUACCACCGAAGCCCACUCCUGGGCUACAAUAUCUGGACCCCUUCUACUGCCGGUACAGGGCACGGAACCCCGCCGAUCCUCUAUGACUGGAAUAUCAACAUAAUCUGACCGAGGAUUCCAACAGGCCCCUCAGGCGCGACGUCCGCUGAAGGCCCAUUCUGCUAACCGCGGCCUACUAGCUACCUAGAGUUACUUAGAACCCUACUAAUUCCACGACUGGUCUAUCGACGUCACCGCACGAAGAGGCAAAAACAGACUUACCCCCAUCGCGACGUCCCCCAAAGGCUAACUUGCUAGCCCCGGUCUGCUAACUGCUAGCUUGCCUGCCCUGGUCUGCCAACUGCUUGCUUGCUAACCCGGUCUGCUAACUGCUAGCUUGCCAGCCCCGGUCUGCUAACUGCUAGCUUGUUUAGCCCCGCACUACUAACUGUUAGCUUGUUAGCAUCGGCUUGCUAACUGUCUGAAUCGCCGUGUCCCCAGUCAGCCCAACCACUCACUGGACCCAUAUGUUCACUUGGCUACGCAUGCCUCUCUCUAAUAUCAAUAUGCCUCGUCCAUUACUGUCCUGGUGUGUUCCCCUGCACAUUUGCGACAGCAGUCAGAAGAUCUGUACGCUGUCAUAGACGAAGUGUUAGAGGACCCCAUUCCAAUGGCAACUUACAACCUACAACCAUCUGCCACUGUUGAGAGAGAACCUCCAGAUCCAUAAAAAGGUAUGUAUUCUAUUGCAAAUUUGUCAAAUCUGUUUAAACUCUGUAAUGCUAAUUGAAAUUGUAUAUUUACUGUGAUAUUUUUUCAUUUAUCUACAAAAGCAAAUAAAUCAUUACAUUGCAUACAGGUACAGUAACAUAAUCUCCCUUUAAAUCUGUAUCCAUU